rnacentral:rRNA from 1 species
UACGAAGGGGGCGAGCGUUGUUCGGAAUUACUGGGCGUAAAGGGCGCGUAGGCGGCGACUCUAGUCAGAUGUGAAAGUCCUGGGCUUAACCUGGGGACUGCAUUUGAUACUGGGUUGCUUGAAUUCGGGAGAGGAUAGCGGAAUUCCCAGUGUAGAGGUGAAAUUCGUAGAUAUUGGGAAGAACACCGGUGGCGAAGGCGGCUAUCUGGACCGACAUUGACGCUGAGGCGCGAAAGCGUGGGGAACAAACAGG